rnacentral:sRNA from 1 species
AAACAGUGAAAUGAGACCAGAGCUAUAAUACAAACAGUGUAAAGUGACUGGUUUGAAAAACAAUAUAUGGGACCAGGACCAAAAUAUACAAGAAUGGGACCAAUGCUAAAAUUGGUCAUGGUCCCAUGCACGGUCACACGGCCAGUCUAAGCGUGGGAUCGAAACAGAGUAAGAUGGAUAAUAUUUUGAUAGUGUUCGAUGUUACGUACAAAGAAAAUCGUGAAGAAUUGUGAAGAGGUCGCUCCUCUAGGAUUUAAGUGGCGGUGGUGUGACUUGGUGGGGUUGGCAUUUUGAUGGAUAUUAGCUCGAC